CCUAAGUGGUGCAUGUGAUUGCCAUAUCACCUUCAGAGAUUCUUUCUAGAAGACACGUACAUGCUGUCUACACUUCAGAUGGCCAAGCCAACCUUUUGCAUCAGCAGGCCGGUUCAACAUUCUAUCAAGCCAGACGUUUCCAGAUGGCGUGUUAUGGUGCAGCUGGAGGACCCCAUUAUCAUUUGACCCACUCUCCCAGCAUCUUUUAUGCAAGAUGAUUUCUUCUUCCUGUUUCUGGUCUUACUGCUGACAGGCAUCACCAGUACCCUGAGGGUAAGCAUUGUGUGCUGGUAUCUGGCUUUAAAGAAAAACUUUUAAUAUUCUCGAU